rnacentral:rRNA from 1 species
UACAGAGGGUGCAAGCGUUAAUCGGAAUUACUGGGCGUAAAGCGCACGUAGGCGGUUUUUUAAGUCAGAUGUGAAAGCCCCGGGCUCAACCUGGGAAUUGCAUUUGAAACUGGAAAACUAGAGUGUGUGAGAGGGGGGUAGAAUUCCAAGUGUAGCGGUGAAAUGCGUAGAUAUCGGGAGGAACACCAGUGGCGAAGGCGGCAUCCUGGCUCAUAACUGACGCUGAGUCGCGAAAGCGUGGGGAUCAAACAGGAUUAGAUACCCGUGUAGU